AUUGAACGCUGGCGGCAGGCCUAACACAUGCAAGUCGAGCGGAUGACGGGAGCUUGCUCCUUGAUUCAGCGGCGGACGGGUGAGUAAUGCCUAGGAAUCUGCCUGGUAGUGGGGGACAACGUUUCGAAAGGAACGCUAAUACCGCAUACGUCCUACGGGAGAAAGCAGGGGACCUUCGGGCCUUGCGCUAUCAGAUGAGCCUAGGUCGGAUUAGCUAGUUGGUGGGGUAAUGGCUCACCAUGGCGACGAUCCGUAACUGGUCUGAGAGGAUGAUCAGUCACACUGGAACUGAGACACGGUCCAGACUCCUACAGGAGGCAGCAGUGGGGAAUAUUGGACAAUGGGCGAAAGCCUGAUCCAGCCAUGCCGCGUGUGUGAAGAAGGUCUUCGGAUUGUAAAGCACUUUAAGUUGGGAGGAAGGGCAGUAAGCUAAUACCUUGCUGUUUUGACGUUACCGACAGAAUAAGCACCGGCUAACUCUGUGCCAGCAGCCGCCGUAA
rnacentral:rRNA from 1 species